UACGUAGGCGGUUUACUUAGUCAGAUGUGAAAGCCCCGGGCUUAACCUGGGAACUGCAUUUGAAACUGGUAGACUAGAGUAUGGUAGAGGGGGGUAGAAUUCAUAGUGUAGCGGUGAAAUGCGUAGAUAUUAUGAGGAAUACCAGUGGCGAAGGCGGCCCCCUGGACCAAUACUGACGCUGAGGUACGAAAGCGUGGGUAGCGAACAGGAUUAGAUACCCUGGUAGUCC
rnacentral:rRNA from 1 species